GGUGUUGGGGAUCGAACCCAGGGUUUUGUGCAGUUGAGGAAAGAAGUUAACCAGAAGAAGUCAUCGUUCUCAAACUGUCAACCAUGAAUCCCAGCAGGUGAACACUCAGGGGCAGCUGGACAGUGUCUGCUUUUCAGCUUUCUCAGGCAUCAUGGUUGGCCUGAAGCAGCCAUCGCUCAAAAGCACCAAAAUAAAAUAAAAUAAAAUAAAAAAUAAUAGUC
rnacentral:lncRNA from 1 species